rnacentral:rRNA from 1 species
AACUUUCAACAACGGAUCUCUUGGUUCUGGCAUCGAUGAAGAACGCAGCGAAAUGCGAUAAGUAGUGUGAAUUGCAGAAUUCAGUGAAUCAUCGAAUCUUUGAACGCACAUUGCGCCCCUCGGUAUCCCGGGGGGCAUGCCUGUUCGAGCGUCAUUUCUACCACUCAAGUUUAACUUGGUAUUGGGCAUCGUUGUGAAAAAUUUAA